GGUCGGGUGGUGUAGUUGGUUAUCACGUUUCGUUAACACCGAAAAGGUCCUGGGAUCGAACCCCAGCUUGAUCA
rnacentral:tRNA from 1 species